AUUGAACGCUGGCGGCAUGCCUUACACAUGCAAGUCGAACGGUAACAGGUCUUCGGAUGCUGACGAGUGGCGAACGGGUGAGUAAUACAUCGGAACGUGCCUAGUAGUGGGGGAUAACUACUCGAAAGAGUGGCUAAUACCGCAUGAGAUCUACGGAUGAAAGCAGGGGAUCGCAAGACCUUGUGCUACUAGAGCGGCCGAUGGCAGAUUAGGUAGUGGGUGGGAUAAAAGCUUACCAAGCCGACGAUCUGUAGGUGGUCUGAGAGGACGAUCAGCCACACUUGGACUGAGACACGGCCCAGACUCCUACGGGAGGCAGCAGUGGGGAAUUUUGGACAAUGGGCGCAAGCCUGAUCCAGCAAUGCCGCGUGCAGGAUGAAGGCCUUCGGGUUGUAAACUGCUUUUGUACGGAACGAAAAGCCCCGGGUUAAUACCCUGGGGUCAUGACGGUACCGUAAGAAUAAGCACCAGCUAACUACGUGCCAGCCGCCGCGGUAA
rnacentral:rRNA from 1 species